AAGGCUAUACUUUCAGGGAUCAUUUCUAUAGUUGGUGACUAGAGAAGUUUCUCUGAUCAUAUAGAGCAUCAAUCCCCAGA
rnacentral:snoRNA from 1 species